rnacentral:tRNA from 2 species
GGGCGGUUAGCUCAGCGGUAGAGCGUCUCGCUUACACCGAGAAUGUCGGGGGUUCGAUCCCCUCACCGCCCACCA